rnacentral:rRNA from 1 species
AGCGAACGCUGGCGGCAGGCCUAACACAUGCAAGUCGAGCGGGCACCUUCGGGUGUCAGCGGCAGACGGGUGAGUAACACGUGGGAACGUGCCCUUUGGUUCGGAACAACUCCGGGAAACUGGAGCUAAUACCGGAUAAGCCCUUCGGGGGAAAGAUUUAUCGCCAAAGGAUCGGCCCGCGUCUGAUUAGCUAGUUGGUGAGGUAAUGGCUCACCAAGGCGACGAUCAGUAGCUGGUCUGAGAGGAUGAUCAGCCACACUGGGACUGAGACACGGCCCAGACUCCUACGGGAGGCAGCAGUGGGGAAUAUUGGACAAUUGGCGAAAGCCUGAUCCAGCCAUGCCGCGUGAGUGAUGAAGGCCCUAGGGUUGUAAAGCUCUUUUGUCCGGGAAGAUAAUGACUGUACCGGAAGAAUAAGCCCCGGCUAACUUCGUGCCAGCAGCCGCGGUAAUACGAAGGGGGCUAGCGUUGCUCGGAAUCACUGGGCGUAAAGGGCGCGUAGGCGGAUCUUUAAGUCGGGGGUGAAAGCCCAGGGCUCAACCCUGGAAUUGCCUUCGAUACUGAAGAUCUUGAGACCGGAAGAGGUUAGUGGAACUGCGAGUGUAGAGGUGAAAUUCGUAGAUAUUCGCAAGAACACCAGUGGCGAAGGCGGCUAACUGGUCCGGUUCUGACGCUGAGGCGCGAAAGCGUGGGGAGCAAACA